rnacentral:rRNA from 1 species
CUUCGAGACUGUGAGGCUAGAGCACGUCAGAGGGUGAUGGAAUUCCCGGUGUAGCGGUAAAAUGCAUAGAUAUCGGGAGGAACACCAGUGGCGAAGGCGGUCACCUGGGGCGUUGCUGACGCUGAGGAACGAGAGCUAGGGGAGCGAACGGGAUUAGAUACCCCGGUAGUCCUAGCUGUAAACGAUGGGCACUAGGUGCUGGGAGAUUCGACCCUUUCAGUGCCGAAGCUAACGCAUUAAGUGCCCCGCCUGGGGACUACGGCCGCAAGGUUAAAACUCAAAGGAAUUGACGGGGGCCCGCACAAGCGGUGGAGCAUGUGGUUUAAUUCGAUGCUACGCGAAGAACCUUACCUGGGCUUGACAUUCCGCUGAAAUCCCGCGGAAACGCGGGACCUCCUUCGGGACAGCGGUGACAGGUGGUGCAUGGCUGUCGUCAGCUCGUGCCGUGAGGUGUUGGAUUAAGUUCCGCAACGAGCGCAACCCUCGCCGCUAGUUGCCAUCAUUAAGUUGGGAACUCUAGCGGGACUGCCGGCGUCAAGCCGGAGGAAGGUGGGGAUGACGUCAAGUCAUCAUGCCCCUUACGCCCAGGGCAACACACGUGCUACAAUGGCCGGUACAACGGGUUGCCACGUGGCAACACGGAGCAAAUCCCUAAAAGCCGGCCUCAGUUCGGAUCGAAGGCUGCAACUCGCCUUCGUGAAGUCGGAAUCGCUAGUAACCGCAGAUCAGCAUGCUGCGGUGAAUACGUUCUCGGGCCUUGUACACACCGCCCGUCACACCACGAAAGUCGGCAACACCCGAAGUCGCCAGGCUAA